GAGACUCUGUGCGCGUGCAUAUCAAUAAGCGGAGGAAAAGAAACUAACAAGGAUUCCCUUAGUAACGGCGAGUGAAGCGGGAAGAGCUCAAAUUUGAAAUCUUCAAGGUUUUACCUUGACGAAUUGUAGUUUAAAGAAGUGUUUUCUGUUGGAGUUUUGGUAAAAGUUCUUUGGAAUAGGACAUCAUAGAGGGUGAGAAUCCCGUAUUUGACCAUUAUUUCCAGCUGUGUGAUACACUUUCAAAGAGUCGGAUUGUUUGGGAAUGCAGUCCAAAAUGGGUAGUAAAUUUCAUCUAAAGCUAAAUAUUGGCGAGAGACCGAUAGCGAACAAGUACCGUGAGGGAAAGAUGAAAAGAACUUUGAAAAGAGAGUUAAACAGUACGUGAAAUUGUCAAAAGGGAAGCGUUUGACACCAGUGUUGUUUUCUCGAAAAUCAAUUAAAAAUGACUUGAUUUUGUGUUGUAUUGACCUUAAAAGCUUUCUUCACUUUUUUCAUUGUCUUAUUUUUAAUGCACUUUUCGUUUAACAAGUCAACAUCAGUUUCUUUUGUUGUAAAAGAGGUCAUUGGAAGGUGGCUUUCACUUUCGGAUGAAAGUGUUUAUAGCCUUGUGCCUCUACAAUCGGAGAGAUUGAGGUCUGCAGCGUAGAUCCUUCGGGGUUAGAUACGUUUGUGCUAAGUUAUAGCUUUUCAUAGACAACUUGUUGACUAUGUUUAGUCUUGUAGCUUACUCGCUGACGCUAUUUUACCUACGCUUAGGAUGUUGAACUCUAUCACACACAG
rnacentral:rRNA from 1 species